GUGCUGGUUGUGCUUCCGCUGCCCUCGCCGUCUCCCGGGCACACAGCGCCCGCCUUCCCUCACGCUCCCCCCGCUUCCCGCCCCGGCCGGCCAGCCGAGCGGGAACUGAAGUAAAAUCCCCCAAGAUGAAGCAAGGUCAUAGGUAACAUGCAGGAGUGGAGCGUGUUGACUCUGCGAAGGAAGGAAACUUCUGUUCUAACUCUCCGUCAAGUGGUCUCAACUGCUGGGCUGAGUUAUGAUCUCAGCGUUGCCUUCUUGUGUCUGACCAAUGCUGCGGUAGCUGCUGGAAACUCCCGAUUUUGGCCAGGAUCCCAUAGAUACUGCACAGAUAUAGCCCAAAGACCAACUUUGCUCACAGGACACCAUGAAUAUACACUACACCAGCCUGGAUUGCUUCCUCUGGGCAGCUCAGCUUCCUAAAG